CCUACGGGAGGCAGCAGUAGGGAAUAUUGCUCAAUGGGGGAAACCCUGAAGCAGCACCGCCGCGUGGAGGAUGAAGGUUUUCGGAUUGUAAACUCCUUUUGUUAGAGAAGAUAAUGACGGUCUCUAACGAAUAAGCACCGGCUAACUCCGUGCCAGCAGCCGCGGUAAUACGGAGGGUGCAAGCGUUACUCGGAAUCACUGGGCGUAAAGAGCGAGUUGGCGGGAUAGCAAAUCAGAUGUGAAAUCCUAUGGGUUAAACAUAGAACUGCAUUUGAAACUGUUAUUCUAGAGUAUGGGAGAGGUAGGUGGAAUUCUUGGUGUAGGGGGAAAAUCCGUAGAGAUCAAGAGGAAUACUCAUUGCGAAGGCGACCUGCUAGAACAUAACUGACGCUGAUGCGCGAAAGCGUGGGGAGCAAACAGGAUUAGAUACCCCAGUAGUC
rnacentral:rRNA from 1 species